rnacentral:rRNA from 1 species
GAACCGUGCGAACGUUGUUCGGAAUCACUGGGCUUAAAGGGCGCGUAGGCGGGCGAUCAAGUCAGGGGUGAAAUCUUUCGGCUCAACCGGAAAAGUGCCCCUGAUACUGGCCGUCUCGAGGGAGGCAGGGGCAUGUGGAACUUCUGGUGGAGCGGUGAAAUGCGUAGAUAUCAGAAGGAACGCCGGUGGCGAAAGCGACGUGCUGGACCUCUUCUGACGCUGAGGCGCGAAAGCUAGGGGAGCAAACGGGAUUAGAUACCCCGGUAGUCCUAGCCCUAAACGAUGGGUACUAGGUUGUGGACUUGACAUGGGUUCCCAGCCGAAGCAAAAGUGUUAAGUACCCCGCCUGGGGAGUAUGGUCGCAAGGCUGAA